GGAUAACUCCGGGAAACCGGGGCUAAUACCGGAUGGUUGUUUGAACCGCAUGGUUCAAACAUAAAAGGUGGCUUCGGCUACCACUUACAGAUGGACCCGCGGCGCAUUAGCUAGUUGGCAUAGAGGUAACGGCUCACCAAGGCAACGAUGCGUAGCCGACCUGAGAGGGUGAUCGGCCACACUGGGACUGAGACACGGCCCAGACUCCUACGGGAGGCAGCAGUAGGGAAUCUUCCGCAAUGGACGAAAGUCUGACGGAGCAACGCCGCGUGAGUGAUGAAGGUUUUCGGAUCGUAAAGCUCUGUUGUUUAGAAGAACAAGUACCGUUCGAAUAGGGCGGUACCUUGACGGUACCUAACCAGAAAGCCACGGCUAACUACGUGCCAGCAGCCGCGGUAAUACGUAGGUGGCAAGCGUUGUCCGGAAUUAUUGGGCGUAAAGGGCUCGCAGGCGGUUUCUUAAGUCUGAUGUGAAAGCCCCCGGCUCAACCGGGGAGGGUCAUUGGAAACUGGGGAACUUGAGUGCAGAAGAGGAGAGUGGAAUUCCACGUGUAGCGGUGAAAUGCGUAGAGAUGUGGAGGAACACCAGUGGCGAAGGCGACUCUCUGGUCUGUAACUGACGCUGAGGAGCGAAAGCGUGGGGAGCGAACAGGAUUAGAUACCCUGGUAGUCCACGCCGUAAACGAUGAGUGCUAAGUGUUAGGGGGUUUCCGCCCCUUAGUGCUGCAGCUAACGCAUUAAGCACUCCGCCUGGGGAGUACGGUCGCAAGACUGAAACUCAAAGGAAUUGACGGGGGCCCGCACAAGCGGUGGAGCAUGUGGUUUAAUUCGAAGCAACGCGAAGAACCUUACCAGGUCUUGACAUCCUUCCUAGAGAUAGGACGUCCCCUUCGGGGGCAGAGUGACUUGACAGGUGGUGCAUGGUUGUCGUCAGCUCGUGUCGUGAGAUGUUGGGUUAAGUCGGCAUAACGAGCGCAACCCUUGAUCUUAGUUGCCAGCAUUCAGUUGGGCACUCUAAGGUGACUGCCGGUGACAAACCGGAGGAAGGUGGGGAUGACGUCAAAUCAUCAUGCCCCUUAUGACCUGGGCUAACAUGCAGUAGCAUUACAAUGGACAGAACAAAGGGCAGCGAAACCGCGAGGUUAAGCCAAUCCCACAAAUCUGUUCUCAGUUCG
rnacentral:rRNA from 1 species